rnacentral:rRNA from 1 species
GACGUAGGAGGCGAGCGUUAUCCGGAUUCACUGGGCGUAAAGCGCAUGUAGGCGGUUUGGUAAGUCCGUUGUUAAAGCCCCCGGCUCAACUGGGGGAGGUCAAUGGAGACUCCUAGACUUGAGGGCAACAGAGGCACAUGGAAUUCCCGGUGUAGCGGUGAAAUGCGUAGAGAUCGGGAGGAAGGCCGGUGGCGAAGGCGGCGCUCGGGAACAUUUCUGACGCUGAGGCUCGAAAGCGUGGGGAGCAAACAGG